GGCUGAGCUGACAAAGGAGCUAGGGGUGUGGCGCGGUGCCCCUCAGAGGCCUGCGGACCUGCUACCUUCUCCGGCCUUCCUCCUGUGAGUGGCUGCGGUGCUGCAGAGGCCCAGCUCAGGCUGCAGAAUUGUGUAACCCGUGACCUCCGGUUCCCCCUCCGCCGCGACUGCACGGCCACCCGGCCCUGCCACCCGCGCUGCUGCAUGGUUCCCUGACUUGUGCGCCCGCCCACGGAUCUGCUUCUGAGUCCCGCCGCCGGCGAUGCCUCCUUCCUCCAGCGCAGAUUAGACAUGGUUGCAGUGUGGUAAGAAACAACAUUUUUUUCAUCCACAUGGAGCAAAUACUUCAUGUUCCCAGAAUACUCCAUCUAACAUCAGCAACAUAAAGGAACUAGAACAUGGACUCAGCAGCUGCCACAGUGGGAGGACAUGGAACCCUGGCCAUUGUGCACUGGUGGAAAGUCCAGUGGCUCCUCUUCUCUAGGAGAGUAUUAUAGGAUAUGUUAUCCAUAAUUGCGGGAAGAGGCCAAAGUUCAUAUCAAAUAUUCAGAUUCAUACCAGAAAAACCACACUGGUCCCUGAGAGAUAAGAUUUAUACUGAACUACAUAUUAACUGUAGUGAAGAAUCUGUGCUCACAGUAGCUUCCGUUUUAAAGUAUUCUACUGAAGAUGCCAUGUACAAAUUACAUCCUGCUAAAACAGCUCAUCUCUGUGCUAUUAAAAUGAAAACCUCUACCAGGAAUCA